rnacentral:rRNA from 1 species
UGAGGAACCUGCCCUUAACUCUGGGAUAAGCCUGGGAAACUGGGUCUAAUACCGGAUAUGACUCCUCAUCGCAUGGUGGGGGGUGGAAAGCUUUAUUGUGGUUUUGGAUGGACUCGCGGCCUAUCAGCUUGUUGGUGAGGUAAUGGCCCACCAAGGCGACGACGGGUAGCCGGCCUGAGAGGGUGACCGGCCACACUGGGACUGAGACACGGCCCAGACUCCUACGGGAGGCAG